rnacentral:lncRNA from 1 species
GUUCAAACAAAUCAAUCUGCUUUCCUCCUUUCUGAAAAUGAAGAAUUCUCUCCUAUUCAUCUGGUUUUGGAUUCUGUUUCAAAAUGGAGUCUCGCUCUAUUGGAGUACAACUGUGUGAUCCUGGUUCACUGGCAACCUCCGCCUCCUGGGUUCAAGCAAUUCUCCUGCCUCAGCCUCCCGAGUAGCUGGGACUGCAGGCACUUCCCACCACGACCAGCUAAUUUUUGUAAUUUUAGUAGAGACAGAGUUUCACCAUGUUGGCCAGGCUGGUCUUGAACUCCUGACCUCAAGUGAUCCGCCUGUCUCAGCCUCCCAAAGUGCUGGGAUUACAGGCGUAAGCCACCACGCCUGGCCCAUAACUUCUUUCUUUUAGCAAAGGUAAUUAUGUUUUAUAUAUUGUUCUUUGCCUUGAUUUUUCCAAUUAUAUGUAAUGGACAACCCUCCAUAUCUGUGAUAGAUGUUCUUCAUUUCUGUACACUGUUGCAUGGUAUUUCAAUGUGUUGGUAUACCAGACUUUGUUCCAUCAUUGUGUAUUUCAUGAAUUGGGUUGUUUUCAAUCUUCCACUAUUAUAAUGGCAGAAUAAAAG